UACAGAGGGGGCAAGCGUUGUUCGGAAUUACUGGGCGUAAAGGGCGCGUAGGCGGCCGCCUAAGUCAGACGUGAAAUCCCUCGGCUCAACCGGGGAACUGCGUCUGAUACUGGGUGGCUUGAAUCCGGGAGAGAGAUGCGGAAUUCCAGGUGUAGCGGUGAAAUGCGUAGAUAUCUGGAGGAGCACCGGUGGCGAAGGCGGCAUCCUGGACCGGCAUUGACGCUGAGGCGCGAAAGCCAGGGGAGCAAACGGG
rnacentral:rRNA from 1 species